GCGUAGGUGGUCUUUCAAGUCAGAUGUGAAAUCUCCUGGCUUAACUGGGAGGGGUCAUCUGAUACUGUUGGACUUGAGUACGGCAGGAGAAAAUGGAAUUCCCGGUGUAGUGGUGAAAUGCGUAGAUAUCGGGAGGAACACCAGAGGCGAAGGCGGUUUUCUAGGCCGAAACUGACACUGAGGCCCGAAAGCGUGGGGAGCGAACAGGAUUAGAUACCCUGGUAGUCCACGCCUUAAACUAUGGGUACUAGGUAUAGGGAGUAUCGACCCUCUCUGUGCCGAAGCUAACGCUUUAAGUACCCCGCCUGGGGAGUACGGUCGCAAGACUAAAACUCAAAGGAGUUGACGGGGGCCCGCACAAGCAGCGGAGCGUGUGGUUUAAUUCGAUGCUACACGAAGAACCUCACCAAGGCUUGACAUGUUAGAAGUAGUGAACCGAAAGGGGAACGACCUGUCAAAUCAGGAGCUAUCACAGGUGCUGCAUGGCUGUCGUCAGCUCGUGCCGUGAGGUGUAUGGUUAAGUCCUGCAACGAGCGCAACCCUUAUUGCCAGUUAUAUUCUCUGGCGAUACUGCCUCGCAAAACGGGGAGGAAGGUGGGGAUGACGUCAAGUCAGCAUGGCCUUUAUGCCUUGGGCUACACACACGCUACAAUGGACGGUACAAUGGGUUGCCACCGGGCGACCGGGAGCUAAUCCCCAAAACCGUCCUCAGUUCGGAUCGCAGGCUGAAACCCGCCUGCGUGAAGUCGGAGUUGCUAG
rnacentral:rRNA from 1 species